GAGGGAGGGAGGGGGGUCCGGCACCUCCUGCCCCCGCCCUCCCGGGCAAGGACAGCGCCGGGGAAAUGAGGGGAGCCGAGGGGAAGGAUGACACAUGUUCAGCCCGGCCCAGUGGCAGAGCAGCCGGCGAGGCAGAGCCAAUGGCUGCUUUUCAUGCUCAGUGAGUCCGUCCACCUCCACCCCCCUCCCCGGGUCCUUAAGUUGCAGCUUUUAACUACCUCGGUGUUCAAAGCAAAUAUGAUGCUCAGCGUGAACAGAAGGAAGAGCCUGCUGACAGGUAGACAGCAUGGACACUGAUCCCGGCAGGGCCGGCUGCUGAGAGAGGUGUCCCGGGGGUGCUCCUGAGCCUCUCCUGCUCCAGGUGAUGCCCCAGUUCACCUUCGCUUGCUUCUGCGGGCUCCAUGGCUUCUGCAAGAUGAAGAGGAAGAAAGAAGAGGCCAGUGCACAGCAGGAGACGGCCGUGUGAGGAGCAGACAGACCCUGCCGAGCUGUGCCUCGGGACCCCGCCCGGCCCCUCGACGCCGGUUGUGGCCAGGGGAGAGCCAAGGCACGGGAAUGACCUUGCCGGGAGGCAGAAGCAGAGGCUGGGGGUGUCACCCAGGAGCUGCAGCAAUCCCAGCGGGUGCUGAGCCCCCAGCACCCCAGCACUCGGGGUCAGAGGGACCCUGCAUCCCAGGGGGAUAGAGAUUUCCCUCCUGGACGAGCCAACCUGCCCUUGCUCUGGCAAAUCUCACCAGACAGACCUGGAAAGGGUUUCAAAAGCCGGGGCCAGACCUUGGAGUCCCGGUCCUGGGCAGGGUCGGCCCCUGGCUGGUAAGUUGUCCUGCUGCUGCAGGACUGGCUGAAGGCAGAAAAGGAGCCGGUUUGGGGCUUGUUUCUCCUUUUAAAGCCUCAAGCAAUUGUCUGUGAGUCCAGGAAGCCAUUCUCCGUGCCUCUGCCCUCCUGCUCCCGUGGCUGCAGCACCCUGGGGUGCUCUGGAGGCACCAGACACACGGACCCUGCUCGGACCAGUGCAGCCCAGGAGCUCCCACCCCACGGGCAGGGGGUACACCUCGGGGGGUGAGCCCACCCCCUGCACCCCUGGGCCAUGAGGCUCAGCAGGAGGUUGUUCUCUUCUGGUGAACAGGACCAAAUUCCUGAGCUUGGGGCACCUGAGAUCCAUUCCAGGGACAUGUUCUCCAGGGCAGAAAUCCUUAAAUUCUUCCAUACUGCGCUUCCCUCCUCCCUGUGGAGACCCUCUGAGCCUGGGGCCAAAAGCAGUGCCCAGGACUGCUGGGCAGGAGCUGCUCUUCCCCAGGGUUAGUCCUGCUCCUGCCACCACCUUUCCUGUGGUGGCCGUGCCCAGGGACCCCCUUUCCCCCCUACCCUGUCCCUCUGUCCUUCCCACCCUCUGCUAAAGCCAUACAGGAGCCCCCUGCAUGCUGUGCCUUCCCGAGGGCUCUCAGGCAAACAUUCCCACUGGGAUACCCUCCAGACAGCCCCAGGAUCUGCACAUGGGAAAGCUGGUGAGUGUUGGUGAGCCAGGGACUCCCAGGGUUUGGGUCUGGGUGACAGGUCCCCCAUCCCUGAACACACCCAGGGUUUGGGUCUCAGUGCCCAGUUCCCUGUCCCUGAACACACCCAGCAUUCCCAUCCAGGCACCAGCAGCUCCCAUUUGCUGGAGAGCAGCAGGGACAGCCCCUGGAAAGGGAAAAUGCUUGGGGGCAGCUGGUCAGCACAGGGGAGUGUUGACUUUUAGACCCCUGAGGAGACCCCACCAUGGGGGAUGAGCACACUUGGAGCACAAAUCCUCCUCUGUGAUUAAGAGGCUUGACCUUUCCAGGGUUUUCCCAGUGCUCCCAGACCCACACUCGGCCAACAGAGCUGUCUGUGCCACUGACAGCUCCCUUGGGAGCAGAUUUGUUGGCUCAGCCAACAUCCAGGACCAACACGGCUGUUAUUUUAUUUUCUUAUCCAAAGGAUUUAGCACGAAACCCUGAGCUUGGCCAGAAGCACCAAUAACAACCCAAGGUGCAGCUGAGGAGCUUUAAAUCCUCCCUGCUGGGUGCCUGUUUCCUGGGAAAGCAGCUGGCUGGGGUGGGAUGUGCUGGGAGGUGGGACACGGGCAGGGGGCCACGGGCUGUGCGUGGUCUGUGUGUGUCACACCCGGGCUGGGGCAGCUCAGGACACUUUGCUCUUUCCCCUCUUUAAUCCCGAGCUCUGUGAGCUGUGGGAUCCAGGGCUGCAGCCCCCCAGCAGCGUUCCCAGGUGGGUAUUUCCCAGCUGGACUCCAGGUUUUGGCACGGAAGAGGGCACACAGUGACACGUGAGGUGACACGUGAGGGAGCAGCCAGUCCAGCUGCCCUGUCACUGGUCACCACCGAGCCCAGCAGGUUCCAGCCUGGUUAAUGCUGAUGCUCCCACGUUUUGGCUUGGUUGGGGGACGCAGGGGAGGUCCCUGCUAAUGAUCUGAGCAGGCAUCACCCUGUGAGAGCAGCAGGGCAGGCUCCAGGGAGAGCACCCAGAGCAGAGGUUUGGAGGAAAAUCAUGGAAAAGCAUCCAUCUGUGCUCAGAUGGAACUAAAUCAUUGCUGAGGGGUGAGGAAGAGUGGCCCAGUUCAUUUUUGUGCGAGCUGUGCUGCUGAACCUCUUGGAUCACAGAGCCAGGGUGGUGCUGAGGAUGUGCAGCUAUGGAGGUUCUGUGUCUCUGGAGCAGCACUGGGGAGGAGGCUGGAGCUGGGGAGGGGCUUCCAGUUCUCCCAGUUGCAGUGGGAGUCCCCCAGGCUGGGCUGGGAUGAGCUGUCUCGAAUAUUCCUGUCUCCAGAGAGGGGUUCCCAAGCCCGGGGUUUAAUGAACGUAGCACGUAAAACUGAGACAGGCAGACACUCGCCCACACCCAUUAUAUGUGCAUUGAAAAACACGAGGAAAAAUGACCCAGGAGCCGUGUGAGCGUUAAAGCACUCGAGCUUCAGCAGUUAUUUUUGAAGAGAAUUUCCCACCUCCCUGGGUGGAUGCAGCUCUCUCGAAGCAACAAUAUGUUUUCCACCGUGUCUCCGAGCGAGAUGGUUUGCUCCUGGAUUGACCUCUAUUGUGUUCAUAAACGGCUCGUGGUGCUUUUUUGACUCCCCCCCCCCCCGUCAGAAUGACUUGACCUCCAGAUUUACGGCUGAAGGUCUCGUCGUCCACGCGUUGUUUUCCCACCAGACUGCAGCCUGAUUUUUUUUUGCUUUUCUGGAGCGAAUCUGCCAAGAACUGAGCAUCCCCCACCCUGCCCCGAGCCCCUCGGAGCCCCCCCAUCCUCCCACUGCCAAAUCUGCAGUGGGCAAAAGCAAAUGGGUUUUGUUUCUCUCUUUCCCGUGGCGGCGUUUUAAUAGGGCAGCGUCUGCUCGGAGCCUGCGAGGGCUGGGGCGUGACAGCUCCUGUCACAGAACACUCUCUCCCCGUCUCCUUCUCUCUUCCCCCACGUUUGCACAACCCCUGGCAUUUUUAUAAGCUCGGGGUUUGCUUAUUUUCCAGGAUUUCCUCUUGCUCUCCUGCCUCUGGCUCUUCCAACCCCACUUUUGCUUCUCCGCUCCAGAGUCCCCUGGAGCUGAGCGAUGCUGGAGUAGAUAAAUCUUACUGACUUACUAACCAUCAUCCAGUAGGUUCCAAGUGCUUUUCCAAGGUUUUUCCAUCCUCUGGAGGGAGGAAGGAAGGUGCAGGGACGCCCCUGGGCUGAGCAGUGAGCUCAGGCUCAGUGAGGCUGCACAAGCCCUCGUGUCCUGGCUGUUCCUGAGCAUCCUUGGGGAAAGGGUGCAGCAAGGAGUGAGGUGUCCUCUCCAUCACUAAUCCAGCUCGGUGUACAGCUGGAAUGUCUGCAAAUCCCUGUUCCCUCACACCAUGGGUUCCCAGGGUCUCUGGAGAGAGCCUCCACCUCCACCCCUCCUCAGGGAAAGGAGAGCCCUGCUCCCGAAAGAUGCAUUUGUUCCCACCAGCAAUAAUCCUCCUUUAAUCCUAUUACAGUGAGGAAGGCAUCCAACUUCCCUUGGAGCAGAUGAUGGGGUGCACAGAGGAGGGGGGCUCCUCUCUCCCUGUGGUGCCUGCCCUGGGUCCCCACUGGGGUUUGGGGGUGGGUGUCCCACGGCUCGUCCCCUUCCCGUGCACCCCGAGCUUUUCCUGCAGUGCCAAAGAGCUGGAGUGAAGCAACGACACCCCUGGGAUGGAGCAGAACAUCCCCUGGAACGAGGAGCUGCCUGGAACGAGGGGUCAGCUGUGGAGCUGGUGCUGGAGUGUCGGGAAAAAACAGUUUUAAUGACCCAAGUGAGCAGAGCAGGGCCUCGGGCUCGCUCCAAGACAGGCAGUGUGGCCCCCUGGAAAUAUUGGCUUCCUUGGGAGGGAAGGAAGGAGGGAAAGAGCAUCCAGAUGUUUAUUUGCUUGGAAAACAGCCAGGCUGGGGACCAAAACUUGGGGGUAGGGGGUGCAGAUCCCUUGGAAGAUGGGCUGGGCAUGGAGGGAUCCUGGUGACAGAUGGAUCCUGGUGUUGGAAUUGUGCUGGUGCUGGAGGGAUCCUGGUGUUGGAAUUUUCCCGGUAAGGGAGGGGUCCUGGUGACUAAGGGGUCCUAGAGACAGAGGGAUCCUGGGUUUGGAGAGAUCCUGGUGCUGCAGGGUUCCUGGUGCUGAAGGAUUCCUGGUGUUGGAGGGGUCCUGGUGCUGGAGGGGUCCUGUCAGAGGAGCGUGCAGGAUCUGGUGUGAGCUGCAGGAAUGUUUGUGCGCCGAGCUGGAAGGGCACAAGCACCAGCUGUGGGAGGCAAGCCAAGGAGAAACUGCAGCUUGAACUCUCCAUCUGGUAACACAUUCUUAAAGGGUUUGCUGGAGACGUGAAAAAGGAGCAGAAAAUAACCCUGGGGAGCCCGAGGCAGACGCUCCACAGCAGGACAGACUCCCACCCAAGCCACGACCUGGAGCUCUGGGCUCACAACGAGCUGUGUUUGCUGCAGGCAGGGCAAUCUCUGCAUCCUGGGGGGUAGCCAAGAGAAAUCCACUUUUUUCUUUUAUUAUUAUUAUUAUUUUUUCCCCAGAAGUCACCUGGUCAAAGCCAUCCUUUUUGCCCUCCCACGGGCAGGAUUUUCUUCCAGCUCCUCCUGGGCAGUCGGAUGACACGGACUGGAUGCUCCCAGCCCGUUCCAGCUCACCCCUCCCCGAGCCUUCCUCUAGCUCAAAAUUAUCUGGGGCUGCCCCAAAACGCCCCAUUUUCCAGAAUGUUAUUCUGAGGACAAAGCACAGGCAGCUUUGGGCAGCUCCAGGUGGGCACAGGGAAGCUCGUGUUGUUUUGGGAGAAAAUGCUGACCGUGUUCUGUUCCUAUUUUUGCACAUCAGCAGAGCCUCCCGAGUUCAGGGUUUGCAGCCCUGGCGAGUCCUUGGUGAGGACCUUCAGAUUUAGCUUUGGGCCAAAAAAAAAAACAACCCAAAAAGAAACCAAACAAAAAAAAAACCCAGGGAAGUUGGUGCAACCCAAAGUGUAUUUCUUGAAUGUAACUUUAUUUUUGCACGAGGAUUCGUGGUGGUGACCACGUGAUGGACUUUAAUACUUGGGAUUAAUCACUGCUCUGCAGUUUAUUACAAGGUGUGGGUCGAGUUCGACCCUUGUUUUAUGCCAGUGUGAACCCAGAGAGACAAUCUGACACUGAGGUGUCUGCAGAAAUACUAAUUAAACAGAAAUGAGCUUGGACUGGACCCCAACACUCAGAUUUCUCCUGUUUCUCCAGAUUUUUCCUAUGCAAAACCACCACCAACCAACCAGCACAAGCAGGCAAAGGCAGGCUCACAGCAGGUCCUGAGUCAACAAAGCCCUGCCUAAAUCUAAGUGUUUGCUUUGGGAUUUUGCUCCAGCCAAUAAAUUUUCCUGAUUCCACCCGAAAUAAACCCGUAUCGAUCCCUGACAAAGAGGGAAAGGCACAGAACCAUCCUUGCAACAUCCCCCUAAUGCUGCCUAACAGGGAUCAGAGCAUUAAACCUCUUGGUGUUGUCCUUUUUUUUUUUUUUCCCACUGCCUGGAUUUCAUCAGGAAGGGACCUGUUCCUCAGGAGUUUCCCGGCCCCAGGAGCCAUAGAAAAACAGUACUGUACGUUUGGGAAAAUAAAUGUGGCAUUUGUAAAUAAACACACACACGUCUCUACGCACAGAGCAGAGCACUUCCCGUGGGAAUUCCUAUGCUAGAGGAAUAUAUGAGUUAAACAAAUAAAUAAAGAAUGUUUAUAAGGAUA